rnacentral:rRNA from 1 species
ACGCUGGCGGCGUGCUUAACACAUGCAGUCGAACGAACCUUCGGGUUAGUGGCGGACGGGUGAGUAACGCGUGAGAAUCUGCCCUCAGUGAGGGGGACAACAGCUGGAAACGACUGCUAAUACCCCAUAUGCCGCGAGGUGAAAUGAAUUUCGCCUGAGGAUGAGCUCGCGUCUGAUUAGCUAGUUGGUGUAGGUAAUGGCUCACCAAGGCAUCGAUCAGUAGCUGGUCUGAGAGGAUGAUCAGCCACACUGGGACUGAGACACGGCCAGACUCCUACGGGAGGCAGCAGUGGGGAAUUUUCCGCAAUGGGCGAAAGCCUGACGGAGCAACGCCGCGUGAGGGAUGAAGGCCUCUGGGCUGUAAACCUCUUUUAUCAAGGAAGAAGAUCUGACGGUACUUGAUGAAUAAGCCACGGCUAAUUCCGUGCCAGCAGCCGCGGUAAUACGGGAGUGGCAAGCGUUAUCCGGAAUUAUUGGGCGUAAAGCGUCCGCAGGCGGCCUUCAAGUCUGCUGUUAAACAAGUGGAGCUUAACUCCAUCAUGGCAGUUGGAAACUGUUGGGCUUGACUGUGGUAAGGGCAGAGGGAAUUCCCGGUGUAGACGGUGAAAAUGCGUAGAUAUCGGGAAGACACCAGUGGCAGAAGCGCUCUGCUGGGCCAUCAACUGAACGC